CAGAUCUGUGAACCUGGUUCUACUGGAAGUUCUAGUCACACAUUAGCAAUAACAUCAGCACUGAGCCGCUGUUGCCUGUGAGAUUCAUAACUCCUUCACAAGAACUGCACAGCAAAUCUACAAUGUACAAGAUGGAAGAAUUCAGGAAAAAAAAAAGAAAUCCAGCCAGACCACUCAACUGAUGUACAUCUUUAAAGACUUCUGCCUAGAGUUAAAUACAAGCACCACGCAUCUUCUUCCACCCUUCUUCCCUCCCCACUAAAUUUAAUUUGAAUUUCCACCUUGACAUGAAAGUAAGUAAACAUUGUUAGUAACUGAAAUAAUGCCCUGCUGCCAUGCCUGCUCCCUAGGGCAGCUGACCUUCAGAAGCUCUUCUCUUCAGAUGAAUGAAACCAGGAAGGGCCAGACGGAAACUUCAUUUUAUCUUCCCAGGAGGCUUCAAGAGCUGAUCAAAACAUUUUGACUUUUCUGCCUUUUAAAUCUCUCCUCCCUGCUUAGCCACUGCAACUGAGGGCAUGAAGAAAAAGGUCUCCUUCCAUCACUCCAGUCUUGUGGGCUUUCUCCUCAGCAAACAAAGCUGUUCCCACCCUUGCCUCCUUGGUUCACAGCCUCCUGCCUCCUUUUGUCCUCCUGCCAUGACCUGCUGGUAGGAGUGAGCACAUCUGGAAAGAACGCCAAUAUAUAUGUCUAUACAAGGCUGAACAUCAUUACUUCAGGUAGCUAAGGUACAAGAAGAAGUGAAGUUCAGACAGGGUUACAGAGCCCACUUGAGGCAAGGAUGCAUUGGGAUUCCUUUUUUUAACCCCAGCUUCCCAUCCCUUAAGUCACAGGGGUACCUAGAUUGAAAAUAAGAUGCAAAGUACUGUUUAACCACAUAUAGGCAGAACAAUCUGUUAGUGGAUUAUCUGUCCAAAUUUAUUUCACAGUGUACGCUGAAUGUUGUUUUUUUUAAACAAUCAAGUAAUUACAGCAUUCAGACACACAGGGAAAAUAAAAGAGGUUUUCUUCCAGCAGCUGAAAUCUUUCUCAGCACCUCCAAAUCAGCAAAAUUUGAAAACACACAAUCUUUUCCUUUAUGAAUUGCAAUUCAAAAUAAGAACUACUACAUACACCAUGUUUUUUGAUAAAUUUACUUAAGGGUAGCAGCAAUAACCUGACAUUCAGAAUAGAAUAGCAAGUUGAAUUAUGAAUGUAGAUUAUAUUUCAUCAUUUAGAAACAGUUUCCACUAUUUUAACAUAACACUUUGAACUUAUUUUCUACAUUCUAUAGGUUAUUCCAUAAGAAGCAAACAAACAGAAAUGUUUUAAAUUGAGUACAGUCACUUUUGCACUAUUGUAUCACAUAAUGGCAUACUCAUUCACUUAUUUAGGGGAUGGAUGAGCAGAAUCAUUUCCAUGUUUCUACCUUGUCUAGGCUUUAGUAUCUCUCUGGAAGUGGUAUUGAAGUCAAACUAGUGAAGGGAAAUUGGGACCUAGAGAAUGGAUUAGAUCGUGUAUUUCAGCUCUGACACUGAUUUCAGCUGCGUGGCUCUUUCUUACUUUUAUUCUUUAGUAAAUUCAGAAUCUCAAGCCAUCUUAAGAAUAAUAGCUUUUUCAUGGCUGACUUUUAUCUGGCAGAGAAUAAUUAAAACAAGUGGUAGUUUUAUUUUAAAAUUAAAAUCUCAUUUGCAACUGUUAGGUUCUGUUUUCAUUAGAAUUCUCAGAAUAAACAGUCUGGGGAAUAACA